rnacentral:rRNA from 1 species
GAUGAACGCUGGCGGCGUGCCUAAUACAUGCAAGUCGAGCGAACAGAUGAGGAGCUUGCUCCUCUGACGUUAGCGGCGGACGGGUGAGUAACACGUGGAUAACCUACCUAUAAGACUGGGAUAACUUCGGGAAACCGGAGCUAAUACCGGAUAAUAUAUUGAACCGCAUGGUUCAAUAGUGAAAGACGGUUUUGCUGUCACUUAUAGAUGGAUCCGCGCCGCAUUAGCUAGUUGGUAAGGUAACGGCUUACCAAGGCAACGAUGCGUAGCCGACCUGAGAGGGUGAUCGGCCACACUGGAACUGAGACACGGUCCAGACUCCUACGGGAGGCAGCAGUAGGGAAUCUUCCGCAAUGGGCGAAAGCCUGACGGAGCAACGCCGCGUGAGUGAUGAAGGUCUUCGGAUCGUAAAACUCUGUUAGUAGGGAAGAACGAAUGUGUAAGUAACUAUGCACGUCUUGACGGUACCUAAUCAGAAAGCCACGGCUAACUACGUG